CGGUGUUGAGGUAGUAGGUUGUAUAGUUCGCGUAUUAUCAUUGGAGGUAACUGUGCAAUCUGCUAGCUUACCAUUU
rnacentral:pre_miRNA from 1 species